CAUGUGCAGGUAUCAACAGUUGUCUUUGAUUUAAUCUAUCUUGAAUAAUGCAUACUUUUUAACAUGAAAAUCUCAUUUUCCACAAAACACUAAAUUAAAAGUAACAGGAAGGUGGUAAAAAAUUCAUUAUUUCAGUUACAAAGCAAUGAAUUGAAAACUAUCGGUACAUUCAAGUUAUCUGUAUAAAACAUGGCAUCAACUUAAAAUCAGUAUCAAUACAUGUAUCACCUUAAAUCCGCAGAUGUUGAGUAAGAUUGCCUUUUUAAACAAAAAAUUAUAAUUGCCCUAAAAUGAGUGAUUUAACAAUAUACAAAGAACUAUCAUGAACCAUUUUCAACAUUUACUUUGUUGUUCUAAAAUUUAAAUAUAUAUGCAAUUUCAAACUAUUUAUGCAGGUAAACCAUGUACACACAAAAUUUUAGUACUCAUCUUUACCCUUUUUUUUUAUCCCCAUGUUUUUUUAAAAGCGUGGGGAUAUUGUGUUUAGCUCCGCCGUCUGUCUAUCUGUCCGUCCUGGACACUAUUAUCUCCUACACUAUUAGCACUAGAACCUUGAAACUUACACACAUGGUAGCUAUGAGCAUAUAUACGAUGGUGACAGCGACGGAAUUUUGAUCUGACCCCUUGGCCAAAAGUUAUUGGGGUCAGGGUGGGGCCGGGUCAGUGAUUUUCCUGCGACCCCGAUUCGAAAAAGGCUCAUAACUACUGUGUCCCUUCAGAUAUUGCUUUCAUAUUUGGUAUGCAUGUGUAUCUAGACACCACCUAUCCAUUCGCAUACAAUUUUUUACCCUUGACCUUCAACUUUGGGUCAGUUUUAAGGUUUUGAAAUCUGUGACCGCGAUUCGAAAAAGGCUCAUAACUACUGUGUCCCUUCAGAUAUUGCUGUCAUAUUUGGUAUGUAUGUGUAUCUAGACAACAUCUUUUCAUGCGCAUACAAUUUUGUACAUGCUACCUUGACCUUGAACUUGAGGUCAGCGUUCAGGUUUCUGAAUCUGCGA